GGUUAAGCGACUAAGCGUACACGGUGGAUGCCCUGGCAGUCAGAGGCGAUGAAGGACGUGCUAAUCUGCGAUAAGCGUCGGUAAGGUGAUAUGAACCGUUAUAACCGGCGAUUUCCGAAUGGGGAAACCCAGUGUGAUUCGUCACACUAUCAUUAACUGAAUCCAUAGGUUAAUGAGGCGAACCGGGGGAACUGAAACAUCUAAGUACCCCGAGGAAAAGAAAUCAACCGAGAUUCCCCCAGUAGCGGCGAGCGAACGGGGAGCAGCCCAGAGCCUGAAUCAGUGUGUGUGUUAGUGGAAGCGUCUGGAAAGGCGCGCGAUACAGGGUGACAGCCCCGUACACAAAAAUGCACAUACUGUGAGCUCGAUGAGUAGGGCGGGACACGUGGUAUCCUGUCUGAAUAUGGGGGGACCAUCCUCCAAGGCUAAAUACUCCUGACUGACCGAUAGUGAACCAGUACCGUGAGGGAAAGGCGAAAAGAACCCCGGCGAGGGGAGUGAAAAAGAACCUGAAACCGUGUACGUACAAGCAGUGGGAGCACGCUUAGGCGUGUGACUGCGUACCUUUUGUAUAAUGGGUCAGCGACUUAUAUUCUGUAGCAAGGUUAACCGAAUAGGGGAGCCGAAGGGAAACCGAGUCUUAACUGGGCGUUAAGUUGCAGGGUAUAGACCCGAAACCCGGUGAUCUAGCCAUGGGCAGGUUGAAGGUUGGGUAACACUAACUGGAGGACCGAACCGACUAAUGUUGAAAAAUUAGCGGAUGACUUGUGGCUGGGGGUGAAAGGCCAAUCAAACCGGGAGAUAGCUGGUUCUCCCCGAAAGCUAUUUAGGUAGCGCCUCGUGAAUUCAUCUCCGGGGGUAGAGCACUGUUUCGGCAAGGGGGUCAUCCCGACUUACCAACCCGAUGCAAACUGCGAAUACCGGAGAAUGUUAUCACGGGAGACACACGGCGGGUGCUAACGUCCGUCGUGAAGAGGGAAACAACCCAGACCGCCAGCUAAGGUCCCAAAGUCAUGGUUAAGUGGGAAACGAUGUGGGAAGGCCCAGACAGCCAGGAUGUUGGCUUAGAAGCAGCCAUCAUUUAAAGAAAGCGUAAUAGCUCACUGGUCGAGUCGGCCUGCGCGGAAGAUGUAACGGGGCUAAACCAUGCACCGAAGCUGCGGCAGCGACGCUGAUGCGUUGUUGGGUAGGGGAGCGUUCUGUAAGCCUGUGAAGGUGUGCUGUGAGGCAUGCUGGAGGUAUCAGAAGUGCGAAUGCUGACAUAAGUAACGAUAAAGCGGGUGAAAAGCCCGCUCGCCGGAAGACCAAGGGUUCCUGUCCAACGUUAAUCGGGGCAGGGUGAGUCGACCCCUAAGGCGAGGCCGAAAGGCGUAGUCGAUGGGAAACAGGUUAAUAUUCCUGUACUUGGUGUUACUGCGAAGGGGGGACGGAGAAGGCUAUGUUGGCCGGGCGACGGUUGUCCCGGUUUAAGCGUGUAGGCUGGUUUUCCAGGCAAAUCCGGAAAAUCAAGGCUGAGGCGUGAUGACGAGGCACUACGGUGCUGAAGCAACAAAUGCCCUGCUUCCAGGAAAAGCCUCUAAGCAUCAGGUAACAUCAAAUCGUACCCCAAACCGACACAGGUGGUCAGGUAGAGAAUACCAAGGCGCUUGAGAGAACUCGGGUGAAGGAACUAGGCAAAAUGGUGCCGUAACUUCGGGAGAAGGCACGCUGAUAUGUAGGUGAAGUCCCUCGCGGAUGGAGCUGAAAUCAGUCGAAGAUACCAGCUGGCUGCAACUGUUUAUUAAAAACACAGCACUGUGCAAACACGAAAGUGGACGUAUACGGUGUGACGCCUGCCCGGUGCCGGAAGGUUAAUUGAUGGGGUCAGCGCAAGCGAAGCUCUUGAUCGAAGCCCCGGUAAACGGCGGCCGUAACUAUAACGGUCCUAAGGUAGCGAAAUUCCUUGUCGGGUAAGUUCCGACCUGCACGAAUGGCGUAAUGAUGGCCAGGCUGUCUCCACCCGAGACUCAGUGAAAUUGAACUCGCUGUGAAGAUGCAGUGUACCCGCGGCAAGACGGAAAGACCCCGUGAACCUUUACUAUAGCUUGACACUGAACAUUGAGCCUUGAUGUGUAGGAUAGGUGGGAGGCUUAGAAGUGUGGACGCCAGUCUGCAUGGAGCCGACCUUGAAAUACCACCCUUUAAUGUUUGAUGUUCUAACGUUGACCCGUAAUCCGGGUUGCGGACAGUGUCUGGUGGGUAGUUUGACUGGGGCGGUCUCCUCCUAAAGAGUAACGGAGGAGCACGAAGGUUGGCUAAUCCUGGUCGGACAUCAGGAGGUUAGUGCAAUGGCAUAAGCCAGCUUGACUGCGAGCGUGACGGCGCGAGCAGGUGCGAAAGCAGGUCAUAGUGAUCCGGUGGUUCUGAAUGGAAGGGCCAUCGCUCAACGGAUAAAAGGUACUCCGGGGAUAACAGGCUGAUACCGCCCAAGAGUUCAUAUCGACGGCGGUGUUUGGCACCUCGAUGUCGGCUCAUCACAUCCUGGGGCUGAAGUAGGUCCCAAGGGUAUGGCUGUUCGCCAUUUAAAGUGGUACGCGAGCUGGGUUUAGAACGUCGUGAGACAGUUCGGUCCCUAUCUGCCGUGGGCGCUGGAGAACUGAGGGGGGCUGCUCCUAGUACGAGAGGACCGGAGUGGACGCAUCACUGGUGUUCGGGUUGUCAUGCCAAUGGCACUGCCCGGUAGCUAAAUGCGGAAGAGAUAAGUGCUGAAAGCAUCUAAGCACGAAACUUGCCCCGAGAUGAGUUCUCCCUGACUCCUUGAGAGUCCUGAAGGAACGUUGAAGACGACGACGUUGAUAGGCCGGGUGUGUAAGCGCAGCGAUGCGUUGAGCUAACCGGUACUAAUGAACCGUGAGGCUUAACCUU
rnacentral:rRNA from 1 species